AUGCAUGUCUAAGUAUAAGCAAUUAUACCGUGAAACUGCGAAUGGCUCAUUAAAUCAGUUAUCGUUUAUUUGAUAAUACCUUACUACUUGGAUAACCGUGGUAAUUCUAGAGCUAAUACAUGCUGAAAAUCCCGACUUCGGAAGGGAUGUGUUUAUUAGAUAAAAAACCAAUGCCCUUCGGGGCUUUUUGGUGAUUCAUGAUAACUUUACGGAUCGCAUAGCCUUGCGCUGGCGACGGUUCAUUCAAAUUUCUGCCCUAUCAACUUUCGAUGGUAAGGUAUUGGCUUACCAUGGUUUCAACGGGUAACGGGGAAUAGGGUUCGAUUCCGGAGAGGGAGCCUGAGAAACGGCUACCACAUCCAAGGAAGGCAGCAGGCGCGCAAAUUACCCAAUCCCGACACGGGGAGGUAGUGACAAUAAAUACUGAUACAGGGCUCUUUUGGGUCUUGUAAUUGGAAUGAGUACAAUUUAAACCUCUUAACGAGGAACAAUUGGAGG
rnacentral:rRNA from 1 species